UAGGAGAGUGGGAGAUAAAAGGGAAGGCUCUCUCCAUUUUCUGUUUAUAGAAACUCGAGGCUUCUUGCAGGUCCAAUCUCUGCAUCAAACUUGGGGCCGAC